CACACGACUCUCGGCAACGGAUAUCUCGGCUCUCGCAUCGAUGAAGAACGUAGCAAAAUGCGAUACCUGGUGUGAAUUGCAGAAUCCCGCGAACCAUCGAGUUUUUGAACGCAAGUUGCGCCCGAGGCCUUCUGGCCGAGGGCACGUCUGCCUGGGCGUCACGC
rnacentral:rRNA from 11 species